rnacentral:lncRNA from 1 species
CUUAGAGGCCGCCCAGUGCUCAAACCAGCAUCUUCACUCACCGUCGGACGUCCUACCGCUCGGCUUACCUUCCCGGCUCAUGCAGCGAUCCACGGAGGCCGGGCUACCGAUGAAACCUCACCCACCCCAGAGCUCACCUCCUUUACUUUGGGAAAUGGCGGCAGUUCCAUCAGCUUCUGGAGAAACAAAGAGAACUCAGGUGAAGUGUGGAGCCAAGAGCCCAGAGAACCCAGCCACCAGCUCCCUUUCUUCAGACAUCUCGGCUUCCCUGGGACUGAGGCCAGCGUGAGCUGGAGAUGUUCUCAAGGCCGCGUUAAUCCUUCUCAGAGGCAGCAGUGGAGGGGGCAACGUGGGCUCGACCCAGCAACCAGCUCAUCCAGCCCCUCCCGUUUCCUUCCUGCUCUCCUGAAUCUGCCCUUCCUUUAAAGCCGGCACAGGCCAGGCUGGGCUCCAGACGCUGUCCCAGGUGAGCCACGGGGUGUCUGGUGGCGAUGCCAUGGUCUCAGGCUGCCGGGGUCCUCUGUGUGGCCCGCUUUCGCCCAGAUCACUCACGGCACACCCUGCCUGGCAGGAAAGAGGGGCCCUGCUGCCCCACCCCCAUCUCUGACAAAGACGCAGGAAUCCUUGCGGGCAUGCAGACCCAGCACCACUAGGGAAGGCGACACCUCACUGCAGGGACUGCAGGGGACUUGGGCUCAGGGAAGCCCACCGUGGUCUGCCCGGGAGGAAGACUGAGGGAGGCCUCAGCUGCUGUCUGGCCACACCCCUGGGGGCAGAUUGCUUCUGGGCUACACCCGUGGCCACAUGCAGCCUCCUCCCCACUCCCCACACACACCUGUGUGCACACAAGCGGCUCCACCCUCUGUGGCCAGCUCAGGAUACCCCCUGGGGGUGACAGGGUCCCUAGGUGUAGCCCCACGUGGCAGAACAGCCGCAAGGAGCUGAGCACACGAGCCCAGGGGAGUUUGGUGC